UACGGUCGUAUCACGUUGAAACAUCGGUUCUCGUAGGAUCAGUGAAGUUAAACAACGUCGAGAUUGGUCAGUAACUAGAUGGGUGAUCGCUUGGGAAGACCAAAUGCUGUA